GAUGAACGCUGGCGGCGUGCCUAAUACAUGCAAGUCGAGCGAACAGACGAGGAGCUUGCUCCUCUGACGUUAGCGGCGGACGGGUGAGUAACACGUGGAUAACCUACCUAUAAGACUGGGAUAACUUCGGGAAACCGGAGCUAAUACCGGAUAAUAUAUUGAACCGCAUGGUUCAAUAGUGAAAGACGGUUUUGCUGUCACUUAUAGAUGGAUCCGCGCCGCAUUAGCUAGUUGGUAAGGUAACGGCUUACCAAGGCAACGAUGCGUAGCCGACCUGAGAGGGUGAUCGGCCACACUGGAACUGAGACACGGUCCAGACUCCUACGGGAGGCAGUAGUAGGGAAUCUUCCGCAAUGGGCGAAAGCUUGACGGAGCAACGCCGCGUGAGUGAUGAAGGUCUUCGGAUCGUAAAACUCUGUUAUUAGGGAAGAACAAAUGUGUAAGUAACUAUGCACGUCUUGACGGUACCUAGUCAGAAAGCCACGGCUAACUACGUG
rnacentral:rRNA from 1 species